GGUAAUACGGGGGAUGCAAGCGUUAUCCGGAAUCAUUGGGCGUAAAGCGCCUGUAGGUUGUUUAAUAAGUCUGUUGUUAAAGACUGGGGCUUAACCCCAGGAAAGCAAUGGAAACUACUAGACUAGAGUAUGGUAGGGGUAAAGGGAAUUUCUAGUGUAGCGGUGAAAUGCGUAGAUAUUAGAAAGAACACCGGUGGCGAAAGCGCUUUACUGGACCAUUACUGACACUCAGAGGCGAAAGCUAGGGUAGCCAAAGGGAUUAGAUACCCCUGUAGUCCUAGCCGUAAACGAUGGAUACUAGAUGUUGCGCUUAUUGUGCAGUGUCGUAGCUAACGCGUUAAGUAUCCCGCCUGGGGAGUACGAUCGCAAGGUUGAAACUCAAAGGAAUUGACGGGGGCCCGCACAAGCGGUGGAGCAUGUGGUUUAAUUCGAUGCAACGCGAAGAACCUUACCAGGGCUUGACAUACUGCAAAUUUUCUUGAAAGAGAAAGGUGCCUUCGGGAAUGCAGAUACAGGUGGUGCAUGGCUGUCGUCAGCUCGUGUCGUGAGAUGUUGGGUUAAGUCCCGCAACGAGCGCAACCCUCGUUUUUAGUUGCCAUUUUAUGGGUUCUCUAGAAAGACUGCCGGUGACAAACCGGAGGAAGGUGGGGAUGACGUCAAGUCAGCAUGCCCCUUAUGCCCUGGGCUACACACGUGCUACAAUGGCUAAGACAAAGAGUCGCGAAUUCGCGAGAAUCAGCUA
rnacentral:rRNA from 1 species